UACCUUCAAUGCUGUAAGGUUAAAAUAGACUACCUUCAUUGCUGUAAGGUUAAAAUAGACUACCUUCAUUGCUGUAAGGUUAAAAUAGACUACCUUCAAUGCUGUAAGGUUAAAAUAGACUACCUUCAAUGCUGUAAGGUUAAAAUAGACUACCUUCAUUGCUGUAAGGUUAAAAUAGACUACCUUCAUUGCUGUAAGGUUAAAAUAGACUACCUUCAUUGCUGUAAGGUUAAAAUAGACUACCUUCAUUGCUGUAAGGUUAAAAUAGACUACCUUCAAUGCUGUAAGGUUAAAAUAGACUACCUUCAUUGCUGUAAGGUUAAAAUAGACAAAAAAGGGGGUAAAACCUGGGGAAAACACUGCCCCUCAUUGCUGUUGGGCCAAGAAAACACACUUUCGUCCUAUGUAUUCCUUUGUAUGUAUAUUCCUCCUCCACCUCGUCCUCCUCCUUCUCCUCCUCCUCCUUCUCCUCCACCUCUUCCUCCCGCUUUUCCUCCUCCUCCUCCUCUUCAUCAUCACCACCAUCACGCUUGUUUCCUCCAUUCUUGGCUGCUGUCCACCCACCACCUGCUACCAUCUGUCAUCACUACCACCACUACCAUCAUCAUCAUCAUCAUCAUCACCACCAUUUCUACCAAGCUUGUUACACCAUAUUUUCCUCCUUCCAUCUCCCUAUUCUUUUCUUGUCUUCCCCUCCCUCCCUCCUCAUCCUCGUCAUCAUCAUCAUCAUCGUCUUCUUCCCGUUCCUCUCCUCCCUUCCCCCACCUCCCCCUCCUCAUUUUCCUCCCCGAUUCCUCCCCAGUCUUCCUCUUCCUCUCUCUCCCACCCUCUACCUCCCU